rnacentral:ribozyme from 1 species
UUUUUUUUUUUUUUUUUUUUUUUUUCUUGAUGGCCUUUUACGCAACCGGGUAGUCUGUAUUGCAACUGGCGCGAAGG